CCCUUAGAUGUUCUGGGCCGCACGCGCGCUACACUGAUUCAUGCAACAAGUUUUGUCCUUGGCUGAUAGGCCUGGGUAAUCUUUGAACGUGAAUCGUGAUGGGGAUAGAUGAUUGCAAUUAUUCAUCUUCAACGAGGAAUUCCUAGUAAACGCAAGUCAUCAGCUUGCAUUGAUUACGUCCCUGCCCUUUGUACACACCUCCCGUCGCACCUACCGAUUGAAUGGUCCGGUGAAAUCUUCGGAUCUGAGAGAUGUCUGAUUAAUUUCGGACGCCUUUUGGAAAAGUUGCUUAAACCUUACCAUUUAGAGGAAGGUGAAGUCGUAACA
rnacentral:rRNA from 1 species